rnacentral:snoRNA from 1 species
UGGAGGACUGAGAAAAUAAGGCAGUUUCAUAUACUGCAUUUAUUGGUUACAACCUCCAAAAUCAAAAUGUUGCAAAAGCAAAUCAUGUUCCUUUUACUUGUGGAGGAACACUGCUGCUAUUUGCAUACAUCUU